ACAGGCUUAACACAUGCAAGUCGAGGGGCAGCAUGGUCUUAGCUUGCUAAGGCUGAUGGCGACCGGCGCACGGGUGAGUAACACGUAUCCAACCUGCCGUCUACUCUUGGCCAGCCUUCUGAAAGGAAGAUUAAUCCAGGAUGGCAUCAUGAGUUCACAUGUCCGCAUGAUUAAAGGUAUUUUCCGGUAGACGAUGGGGAUGCGUUCCAUUAGAUAGUAGGCGGGGUAACGGCCCACCUAGUCAACGAUGGAUAGGGGUUCUGAGAGGAAGGUCCCCCACAUUGGAACUGAGACACGGUCCAAACUCCUACGGGAGGCAGCAGUGAGGAAUAUUGGUCAAUGGGCGAUGGCCUGAACCAGCCAAGUAGCGUGAAGGAUGACUGCCCUAUGGGUUGUAAACUUCUUUUAUAAAGGAAUAAAGUCGGGUAUGCAUACCCGUUUGCAUGUACUUUAUGAAUAAGGAUCGGCUAACUCCGUGCCAGCAGCCGCGGUAAUACGGAGGAUCCGAGCGUUAUCCGGAUUUAUUGGGUUUAAAGGGAGCGUAGAUGGAUGUUUAAGUCAGUUGUGAAAGUUUGCGGCUCAACCGUAAAAUUGCAGUUGAUACUGGAUGUCUUGAGUGCAGUUGAGGCAGGCGGAAUUCGUGGUGUAGCGGUGAAAUGCUUAGAUAUCACGAAGAACUCCGAUUGCGAAGGCAGCCUGCUAAGCUGCAACUGACAUUGAGGCUCGAAAGUGUGGGUAUCAAACAGGAUUAGAUACCCUGGUAGUCCACACGGUAAACGAUGAAUACUCGCUGUUUGCGAUAUACGGCAAGCGGCCAAGCGAAAGCGUUAAGUAUUCCACCUGGGGAGUACGCCGGCAACGGUGCAACUCAAAGGAAUUGACGG
rnacentral:rRNA from 1 species